rnacentral:rRNA from 1 species
UACGUAGGGUCCGAGCGUUGUCCGGAGUUACUGGGCGUAAAGGGCGCGUAGGCGGCCUGUUAAGUCGGACGUGAAAUCCCCGGGCUCAACCCGGGAACUGCGUCCGAUACUGGCAGGCUUGAAUCCGGGAGAGGGAUGUGGAAUUCCAGGUGUAGCGGUGAAAUGCGUAGAUAUCGGGAGGAACACCUGUGGCGAAAGCGGCGCACUGGACCACAACUGACGCUGAGGCGCGAAAGCUAGGGGAGCAAACAGG